rnacentral:tRNA from 1 species
UGGCGUCCAGUUCGAUCUUGUGGAACGCCCGGUUGUCACCGGGGCUGCUGACGGGUGCGACGCUCAUGGUUGCCAACC